rnacentral:lncRNA from 1 species
GUUGGCACUGUUGAAGUCCGGUUGGCACUGUUGAAGGUUGAUGGCUGGAGAGGUAUGGAAGACACCGGAUACAGUCGGUCACUAUAGAAAUUCGAUUGCUGGAGCCCAUCCGUUGUAGAAGUUCGUCCGGAAUCCAUCCGCUGUACAAGUUUAGACGGAGUCUGGCUCUUGUGGGAGUCUGGAAGGAGGCCGCUUACUGUAGAAGCUCGGAUGGAGACCGGUUGCCGUGGAAGCUCGGAUG